GGUUUGGCGCCAGGUUCCGCCGGGCGAGGCAGCGAAGGCUCCCAGUCAGGCCAAGGGCCAGAACGGUCCUUCCCUAGUGACUGCCUUCCAAAUUCAAGAUGGAAUUUUUUCAUUUUAGAAUCUACUCACCCCACUUAUGUUAUAACCAGAGUCAGCAUACAUCACGAUUGGCAAGACCCGCUCGUGUUUGGCAAAAUGGAAGUGUUCUGGAAAUUCCUCCCUCUUGUAGACAUUGAGGUGAAGGUGUGCAUUUUUCAGCGCUUGGUAAACGGCUUCCUCUUGCCCUGGUUUGGGCAGGAGCAUCCCAAAGCUGCCAUAGUCCACAAUAUCAAACUUGACCAAGUCCCUGAAGCUGAUGUAGUUGGUCAGGAGGAUCUCAGUGACUUUGGGCUUCUUUUUCAAAGUGGUCAGGCCGUGGUUAGAUGUGAUGAUGACAUUGAGGUGCUCAGUCAAGCUGUGCCUCUCAAUGGCUUCCAACAGGUACCCGAUGGUUCUGUCGAUCUGCUGAGUCAUCACCCUCCUGUUCUCUGUCUCAGGCCCAAAGCGGCAUCCCACGUUAUCCGGCUCUCCGUAGUAGAGUCACGAAGUCAAAGUCUUCCUUACUGAACCAGUUCAUGACGGUAUCGAUGUUCUCCCUCCACUCCGUCUCGUUGCUAUCCGGGUCGGUGUACGGCUCCACCAGGGACCGCUGGAUGGCCUCCCCUUUGUACUUGGCGCCUCCCCCGGGAUAGUGGAAUGACGCUGUUUUCCUCCCCUGCAAGUGCAAGAAGAAAAGUCUGUCAGGGCCAUUUCUCCUAUCUUUCUCAUAAUGUGCAAAGUCCAACGUGUCAGCAUCCCUGCCCCAGUCCAAAGGCAUGGAAAACAUGUGGCUUCAGAGUCAGACAGGAUUGGGCUUCGUUCCUGGCAUCACCAGGCUCUCGUGGAAUCUAAAACACCGUUAAUUGUGAGACCUGCUGUUAUGUUAUGUGCUCCUACGAAGAAAAAUGCUGCCUAUGAAACCACGACACUCCAGUGACUGGCAUAUGCGUUCCAAUUUGGGAUGGCAAAAUGAAGAAAACAGUUCCUUAGAAUGGAAGAAAAAUGGCACUUUCUAAGUUGGUGAUGUUGAUCAAAGUUCACAUUGAUAAUUCUGCCCCAGCUCCGCUGUGGAUCAGAACACCUGGAGCGUAACGAGUCGGCACGUUCGACGUGAUGGAAAAGUUCUGGAGGUGGAUGGUGGUGGCGGCUGCACAGCACUGUGAAUGCACUUAAUGCCGCUGCACGGUGCGCUUUAAGACGGUCAGAAACUUAGUUCUGUAUAAAGAAAGGAAGAACAUCAAAGAAGGAAUAAGUAAAGCCAGCACCAAGUAAGCCCUGGAUCUCCUGCUCAAGGGGCCAUGUGGAGAAGGGCUCUGGAGGACGAGAGGGCACAUGAAGAAAAACCAAGUUCCCAGCCACCAGCAGCACCAUCUGCCAAGCAUGUGCGUGAGGCCAUGUUGACCUUCCAGCCCAGCUGAGCCUCCAGCUGCAUGUAGCCACACAAGUGAGCCCACAUGAGACCAGCAGAGGAAAUGCCCAGCCAUCGCACAGAAUCAUGAGAAAUAACAAAUUUUGUGGUUCAAAGCUACUAAGUUUUGUGUGUAGUAGAAAUAGCCCACGAGGGUGUGAGCAUGUGGGGUACACAGUUCCCACCUGCUGAAGAUCCAUGAGUUCCUAGGAUCCAACCCAGAGCCAACUUAUGUCCUCAAUGUCCUUGUUUGAAACUUUUAUGAAAAUUUUCUUUAAAGACAAUAUUUUUAGAGCAGUUUUAGGUUCACAGCAAAAUCAAAAGAAGGUACAGAGAUUUCCCAUAUAUCCUCUGCCCUGCACAUGCACAGCC